rnacentral:lncRNA from 1 species
AUGGGGCGGAGGAGGUGGGGUGGAAUGCGGAGGGACCGGCAGAGGAUGGAGGGGGAGGGAAUGUGGGGCUGGGAUGGAGAUGGGGCUGGGAUGGAUGUGGGGCUGGGAUGUGGGGCUGGGAUGUGGGUGGUGGUGUGGGGUGAGAAAGGAAUGGGGGCACGGGUGGAGCUGAUAUGUGGGGCUGACUCAUAUGGGGCGCUAUGGGGUCCCUAUGGGGUUCUAUGGGGUCUCUAUGGGUCUCUAUGGGUCUCUAUGGGUCCCUAUGGGGUCUCUAUGUAUCUCUAUGGGGCUCUAUGGGGCUCUAUGGGUCUCUAUGGGUCUCUAUGGGUCCCUAUGGGGUCUCUAUGGAUCUCUAUGGGGUCCCUAGGGGUCCCUAUGGGUCUCUAUGGGUCUCUAUGGGGUCUCUAUGGGUCUCUAUGUGUCCCUAUGGCGUCUCUAUGGGUCUCUAUGUAUCUCUAUGGGUCCCUAUGGGGUCUCUAUGGAUCUCUAUGGGUCUCUAUGGAGUCUCUAUGUAUCCCUAUGGGUCUCUAUGUGUCUCUAUGGGUCCCUAUGGGUCUCUAUGUGUCCCUAUGGGUCUCUAUAGGUCCCUAUGGGUCUCUAUGGGUCCCUAUGUGUCCCUAUGGGUCUCUAUGUGUCNNNAUGGGUCUCUAUGGGGUCUCUAUGGGUCCCUAUGGGUCCCUAUGGGUCUCUGUGGGUCUCUAUGGGGUCUCUAUGGGUCCCUAUGGGUCCCUAUGGGUCUCUAUGGGUCCCUAUGGGUCUCUAUGGGUCCCUAUGGGGUCUCUAUGGGUCUCUAUGGGUCCCUAUGGGUCUCUAUGGGUCCCUAUGGGGUCUCUAUGGGUCCCUAUGGGUCCAUAUGGGUCUCUAUGGGGUCUCUAUGUAUCUCUAUGGGGUCUCUAUGGGUCCCUAUGGGUCCCUAUGGGUCUCUAUGGGGUCUCUAUGGGUCUCUAUGGGUCUCUAUGGGGCUCUAUGGGUCCCUAUGGGUCCCUAUGGGGUCUCUAUGUAUCUCUAUGGGUCUCUAUGGCGUCCCUAUGGGUCCCUAUGGGUCUCUAUGGGUUUCUAUGGGGUCUCUAUGGAGUCUCUAUGGGUCCCUAUGUAUCUCUAUGGGUCUCUAUGGGUUUCUAUGGGGUCCCUAUGGGUCCCUAUGGGUCUCUAUGGGUCCCACCCCAGACCGGAAGUGCCCCUCUCCCCCCCACUUCCGCCUCCUCCGCUCUGCCCCACUUUCCCACCGGAAGUAGUUUUAACCUCCCCCCUCUACUGCGCAUGCGCGACUCCCGUGACCGAAAGGGGGCGUGGUUUCAGGGUUAG